rnacentral:rRNA from 1 species
UACGUAGGGUGCAAGCGUUAAUCGGAAUUACUGGGCGUAAAGCGUGCGCAGGCGGUUCGUUGUGUCGGCGGUGAAAGCCCCGGGCUUAACCUGGGAAUGGCCGUUGAAACUGGCGAACUGGAGUGUGGCAGAGGGGGGUGGAAUUCCGCGUGUAGCAGUGAAAUGCGUAGAGAUGUGGAGGAACACCGAUGGCGAAGGCAGCCCCCUGGGUUAACACUGACGCUCAGGCACGAAAGCGUGGGGAGCAAACAGG